UACGUAGGGUGCAAGCGUUGUCCGGAAUUAUUGGGCGUAAAGAGCUCGUAGGCGGUUUGUCGCGUCUGCUGUGAAAACUCGGGGCUUAACCCUGAGCUUGCAGUGGGUACGGGCAGACUAGAGUGCGGUAGGGGAGACUGGAAUUCCUGGUGUAGCGGUGAAAUGCGCAGAUAUCAGGAGGAACACCGGUGGCGAAGGCGGGUCUCUGGGCCGGAACUGACGCUGAGGAGCGAAAGCAUGGGGAGCGAACAGG
rnacentral:rRNA from 1 species